rnacentral:rRNA from 1 species
GACGGAGGAGGCUAGCGUUGUUCGGAAUUACUGGGCGUAAAGCGCGCGCAGGCGGUCUUGCAAGUCAGGGGUGAAAGCCCGGGGCUCAACCUCGGAACUGCCUUUGAGACUGUGAGACUCGAGACCGAGAGAGGAGAGUGGAAUUCCCAGUGUAGAGGUGAAAUUCGUAGAUAUUGGGAAGAACACCAGUGGCGAAGGCGGCUCUCUGGCUCGGUACUGACGCUGAGGCGCGAAAGCGUGGGAGCAACGGG